CCUACGGGCGGCAGCAGUGAGGAAUAUUGGUCAAUGGGCGGGAGCCUGAACCAGCCAAGUCGCGUGAGGGAAGACGGUCCUAUGGAUUGUAAACCUCUUUAGGCGGGGAGCAAUGCCGGGCACGCGUGCCCGGAGGGAGAGUACCCGCAGAAUAAGCAUCGGCUAACUCCGUGCCAGCAGCCGCGGUAAUACGGAGGAUGCGAGCGUUAUCCGGAUUUAUUGGGUUUAAAGGGUGCGUAGGCGGAUUUUUAAGUCAGCGGUAAAAUGUCCGGGCUCAACCCGGGCCGGCCGUUGAAACUGGGGAUCUUGAGUGGGCGAGAAGUAUGCGGAAUGCGUGGUGUAGCGGUGAAAUGCAUAGAUAUUAGGAAGAACACCAGUGGCGAAGGCGGCUUUCUGGACUGAAACUGACGCUGAGGCACGAAAGCGUGGGGAGCGAACAGGAUUAGAUACCCGUGUAGUC
rnacentral:rRNA from 1 species